AGGCUAAUUUUGUCCUCUUUAGGCUCCAUGAUACAAGGGAAUGCAGUACAAACGCAAGUCUCAACAGUAGAGAGUCAAAACCAUCCAGCACUCAGUGGCCCCAUCGCGCUGGUCAGUAGAGGACCCGAGGCCAUCAGACGCAGCGGAACCUUUCUGGGUCGUAAGGUGAUAGUCCGGGGGACGUAAAUAGCCAGACGACGCGAGGAGGAAAGUGCGGGAGACUGGAAUGAAGCGACUGGAGAGUUAUGAAGGAUGAUGCCGCCGAAGUCCCGAGCGGCUUCGAGACAAGGAAGAGAAGCUCCGCGACUCACUUGAGCCAGUCAGUCAGUGGUCAGUGGCGUCAGCUUUGUUGUGGUGUACGCGUGAGUCUUGUGUUUUCUUGAACGCUUUUUUGGGCUUUAGGUGAACCAAAACUCUCCCAAAGCCUGUCCACAGUGGUCACCAGGUAUGUUAACCUGGUAAUGAGUGUAUUUGGACAUACACUGCUAGUGAAACUGGUGUGUCAUGCCUCGCUUGGCUGGUAGGAAGCAAACGGUUGAAGAAUCAGUUGCCAGAACAUUAAUAACUAACAUUUUCUUAAUUUUGCAUAUUUACUAGUUUUUGUAUUUCAUAU